AACUUCACAUAGUAGAGAUAAAUCUGUAUGAGUCUCUUCACUUUCAAGCACUAAAAAGAUGCAUCUUAGAUAGAAAUCCCUUCAGAGGCUUGUCUGUUACUGUACACUUUAAUGCUGUUGCAGUUAUCGUAAAACAGUCAGAGACAUUUCCUUGAAAGACAUAAAACACAUGACGGAGAAUUAGUCAUAAAACAACUAUUUAUUCAUACAGCGGGCACACCAAAAUAGACUACAUUCCAAGUAGAUUUGCAUUGUUGACCUUAGUUGACCUUAGACCAUAGUUGAGUUCAUAUCCUGCCGAAAGUGCUGAUCAAGGUUGUGCGGACGCAUAAAAAUUCACAACUGUUUUUCUUUCACAAGACACACGUAGAAUAAGAGGAUAUCCUAUGAUGGCUGUUGCAAAAAUAAACAGUUUCACCUUAUAACUCACUAAUUACUCUCCCACUGUGGAAGUCAGAUAAGCCAAAAACCAUUAAAGCGACAUUAGACGGUCCUAAUGCUUCCUAUCCCGAGCAGCCACACCAAACACUACACCUUGGGUAUUUUAUAAACAAAUAAAAAAUGACGCAGAGGAAGUUCCUGGGGUGUCAUAAUUUUACCUGUCUUUUCUAACAAUAUGUGUAUGUAAACAGCUAUUUAGCACACUGGUUCUGUCAAGAAAAGAUGAUCAGUCAUGAAGGAAACAAAGGAGAGAUCUUUAAAAAUAGCCCGAGAGUGAGAAUCUGAUAAAUCUGAAGUGAAACUCCGGGAUAAACUAAAUUUACCCCCUCGAUUAUGAAAAGGGUGUUGGUUACAUAACAGACAGUCCAGUCUGGGUCAUCCCACCAGCUCACUGACCCAAACCUGCCAAGUGGCAGCAGUCUCAUGACAGUGAUUUGCAAGCUAACGAUACUGUCUCAUGGGAUGGGAUAGGAGCCUUUGAAGGAAGCCGUUCACUGGUGAUGAUUUCAGGGCAUGUGAGGGGUGUGUAUUUGGGUGUUUCUGUGUUACCAAACUCGUGAAUGUGAGCCUUGGUGAACCAGUAAAUUAGUCAUUCAGCUACAUUGUCUAGCUGAAUGCUUACUGAUCAUUUAUUUUGCUUGUUGGUGUGAGGUCUUCUGUAAGAGUGACCUCUCUUUAUCCCAGUUAACAAAACAUCUGGUUCACAACAAGUUUGUCACGCCUCCUACCGAGUUUGUUUAGUAGCCACAACAGAACUUAAAUCGAUUUCAAGAUCCAAAGGAUACGUGGAAGUGAUGGCGCAAAUGUGUCGUGUUUGUUUUGCUCUGACGACUAUUUUCCUUUGCACACUGAAUACCUUGGGACCAAACUGUAAUUAGAUAAAUUUGAGCAAUUAGUAAAAUGAGUUUCUAACUGUCACAAGCGGUUUCAUGGGUCACUGCAUUUCUGUGCUGUCCAUGCACCACAACCUAUAACCCAUUAGUCUGUUUGUUCAACCUCAGACAGCCGCUUUUCCUCACAAACACUUGGAGCGUUUGUGUACAGUAUGGUUUGUUUCUAUAUUUUCUAUGAGGAACUGUGCUCUACUUUCACAAAAAAAGGGAAAAACAGUGUGGGGGGGUGGGUAGACUGACACCAGGAAGUGAUAAAACAAGCCCUGCUAUCGUGGCUCUUUCCUGUCAACUGUCCAAUAUUUUUGUGUUGAAGUCUAAUCAUUUAAACUGCAAAUAUGAGCUGAAGCAGCUCUGAUAUUGAAUAGCUUUCCCUGAGAAAAAAAUAAUGUAAAAUGUUCUGCUUUCAUUUGUAACUAAAGAGAAAUGUCUCAACUUUCCUCUCUUUUGUUAAAUGAAUAUUUGACACAUGCACAUUCUUGUCUUGCUAUUCAUUUAAAAUUGUCAUUUCUGUAACUAAAUAAGUAAGAAACUCUAAGAAACCUUGUUCACUCUUGCAUAAAUCAUUUGGAGGAAGAAAAGGCCUCUCAUGUCCACACUGCGGUGACUUUCAGCUGCUAUCAGUGGACUGCAGAUUCACAUUUUGUAGCCCAAACGCAAAGAGUAAGACGCUGGAAAAUGGAGCCGUUUCUGCUGUGACUAUUUUCCAUUUGAAUAUGAAAAAGUUUCCAGCUGAAUUCACCUCACUGCUCUGCAGGAAAAAGGUAUGCAUACCAUUAGACAGAGGUGGUUUCAUUUUGCUCUUCUUUAUUGCUUUUACUGCAGUCGUCCGGGUACUUUAUGCCUCUGUGUUCAAACUGCAUGCAUGGUUGGAUUAUUAGUCGUGACAGCGUCGACCUCUGUGUAAGGCAUCUGUCAACUUUGACCCCAACUAUCAAACAAACUCAUGUGAUAUCAAGCCCACCGUGAACUUAACAUUUACUUUCUGCUGCUCUCACAUCAUAAAGUUCCAUUAAUGAGAGAUUUAGAAGGUCUUCAGAACAUUUUUAUUCACUCUCACAUAAAUCACACAUACAGAGUCUCACUUUGUCUGUACUUUGUGUAUUUUUGAGCAUUCUCCACAUUCCUCAACAAGUGGUCUCACGAUUCAGUCAGAUGUGAAGACCUCCAGUGGAGGUAUGUUUGGUGAAGAUAGAAGCACAGGCUAUGCUGAAUGGGUCUGAUAAAAUGUAGAGAUAUUAACGAUAACUGUGUAUAGUUUGAGGUAUCAGAAAUAUUUUACAGUGCAGCAGACAAACAUGAGAGCAGUCAGAGAGUAAACGUUUCUAAGGAUUCAGCAAAGACCAUGUGAAGGACCAAGACAUAGGUGUGGACAAAGAUCAGAUUUUGAAUUAUCAGUAACUAAAAAAAAGAAACUGAAUGUAAAAAAAAAAUAAAAUAAAAAAAACCCUAAAACUCCAUCCUAUCAGAACAUAAUCAGACCUAACUCAAGUGAGAUGAGACAGAAGACCAGUCAAACAAAAGCCCAAGGGGACUACAAACUGAACAUCUAAAAAACUUAAAAAUACACCUUUUAAAAAAAUCUAUACUUAUAAUAAUCUGAAUAGUGAACAAUGGAAUGCUAACAUAAGGUGGCAGCAGGUCACAGCCACCACAGACCUGAUAGUCAAUGAAACGUUGAUGUUUCUGGAAAACUUGUGUAACAGGGAUUGUGUAACAGAUGAUAAUUAGCUCAAAGACAGCAGCUUUCGAGAUACUCCAUUAAUCUUCAGGUAAUGGCUAAUCAAAUCAUUACAACUAAAAGGCUCCAGUGAGAUCCCUCCUAUGUCUGUGUUUUGAAAGUCAAGUACCUCCGGUUGUAUUAGAGAUUUCAGCGAGUUACAAUGGGACAUCUCAUCGUUGGCACACUACGCAGCAUACCAAAACAAUCAACAAACACAUUAAUGUAAGGCUAACUGGAUGUAUGUUUAACAAUGAAAUCCAAUAUAUCUUAAUAGCUCUGUACCUUUUGUUUUUUUAUACCCCUAUAUAUAAAAAAGUGAGGCAAAUACAUGGAAAAUCUAUUCCUGACCGCAUUAUUUUGGUUUGGUAGUAAAUGCGAACACAUUUUCAAAAGUCCAAAUUGAGCCGGACUCACACACCGAAUUAUUUUAUUUUUAAACCAUCACCUGAAUGUAAUGUCUGUGGCCCCUAAAACUGUGAAAAGCCAGUCUCCUAGGGCCUGUUAUGAAAAAGUCAUCUCUAAUGACUCCCCUUAAAUCUGCUUAAAGGCUGCAGGCCGGAUCAAUUUCAUUAAACAGCCUGUUAAAAUAAAUCAAGGCUGCUACUCUUAUCAAAGUAGAUUGUAAUUCUGACAACAGAGUGAUGACUGAGCAGGCUAUCUUGUUAAUCCAGAAAGUAAAAACUGUAUGCAGGACUUGAUUGAUGUUUUUAAUCAAACACAGCAACAACUCAACUUGAAUCAGCCAAGUUGCACAAGCAGCUCACGACUAAUCACCUGUACUUAGUUUUUCCUUUUGUGAAGCCUACAGUGAAGUGUGAAGUCUGACAGGGCUGUAGGAAGUAAUCACUCAAAAGGCUUAGUAAUUCUGCUAAUUACUCUGUAUGCAAACGGCCAAUUCAUCACUUCAGGGGAGACAGUGAGGCUGUGGCACAUGUACACAUACGCACAUGUACAAAAUUGUUGGUAUCCCCUCUGUUGAUGAAAGAAAAACCCAUAAACGUCACUUAAAAAAACUUGAAACUGACAAAAGAAAUAAUAAAUAAACCAUUAAUUAUUACUGAAGAUUAACUAAUGAAAACCAGAUAUUGCUUUUGAGCUGUGGUUCAGCAGAAUCAUUGAGAAAAACAAACUAAUGGUACAAGCCUGGACAAAAAUGAUGGUACCCUUAACUUCAUAUUUUGUUGCACAACCUUUUGAGGCAAUCACUGCAAUCAAACUAUUUCUGUACCCCCUCAUGAACAAACUGCUCCACUUGUGUCAGGUUUGAAGGGUGCCUUCUCCAGAUUGUGUUUCAGCUCCUUCCACAGACGUCCAAUAGGAUUUAGAUCAGAGCUCAUAGCACUUUGAAAUAGCUGAGACCAAGCUUUCUGACACUAGACAGCACAUUUUUUGAGAUAGUCUUGAGAUUUCAUUAUAACCUGCACAGAUUCAAGACACCCUGUGCCAGGUGCAGCAAAGCAGCCCCAGAACAUAACCGAGCCUCCUCCAUGUCUCACAGUAGGGACAGUGUUCUUUUCUUGGUCUGCUUCAUUUUUGUGUUUGUGAACAUAGACUUAAUGUGCUUUGCCAAAGAGCUCAUCUUUUAAAAGGACAACCUCCCCUAACUUUUGGGGCUUGUCAAUAAGCAUUGAAGCAAAUUCCAGUCUUGCUUUCUAUGAUUUGCUUUCAACAGUUAGCUAUAACGAUAACUGAUGGUGCGAUCUUUGACUUUGAUCUUGACUUUUAACAUUCUUGUCUAUAAUUAGGGCCACAAGACAAACAUGCAAGGCGCUAAUGUUAAAUUGUGGAUUUUUUCUUAUUCCUUUUCCAAACACAUUUCUCUUCUUUACUAGUCCUACAGCUUGAUGAGUUCUAGGACAAAACUAUAUGUCAAAAUGUUUGGUUUGAUCAGGAUCAGUGUGCUAUUACAUUCUCUAUUGUAUAUUAAUUUUUCGUGACAUAAGUCAAGAAAAACUGCAGGAAAAUUUUGCAUUAAAGUCAAUGAGACAAGCCAUAAAAUAGAGCAAUUAUUGGAGUUUUUCAAACAUCUACUGCUUUUUUUUUUUGUCUUUUUGGAUUAUUAAAUACUUGAAAAAUGUUACUAGUAUUGACUUUUUUAAAUCUCUGAAUAAUCUCAUCAUAACAGGUAGUGGCCCCCAUGGCCCUGGUCAAAAUUUCCCAGUGAGAAUUUUCUUGUUUAUCAUGUCCUCAUGGUCAAAUUAUUUUCAAUCUUUUUACCAUCAUUUUUGUCUAGGGCAUUUUUUUUAUGAUUCUGUUAAACCACCACUCAAAAGCAAUGUUUGACUUUCAUUGGUUGAUUUUCAGUAAUAUUUUAUUUAUUAUUUCUUUAGUCAGUUUAAAGUUAUUUCAGUGAUUAUUGUGGACUUUGAUUGACAGUGGGGUACCAACAAUUCUGUCCAUGUGUUUAUACAAUACUUUAAACAACUGAACCACUUUGAUAUUCUCUACAGCACACCAUAGUUACAAAAAUGCGCAUUGCAGGUGUAAUAAUAAAAAAAGUCAAAUAUCCUGUAAACUAAAAUAUAAAAACACUGUCACGUUAUAUACUUAAAAGUAGACAUUCAUAUCAGUCUUCAGUUUCUUUAAUAUUUUACCCAGAGAUAACCACUUUAAAACAUUUUGAACUGACACACAAGGAUUAUUUAAUUCCAAACAGUCUUAUCAGUGCCUGAAACUGACCACAGCAAGCUGACUAGACGGUACUGAACAGCUUGCAUUAGUCUUUCGAGCAUUAUUCAUGUUGGUGUACAAGCAGAAGGACACAUAAGAAAGUCUAAAACAAAGGUUUUAUUUGUGUCACUCUGUUCCUCUCAGUGUCAGGAAUGUGCCAAAUACGAGCUCACGGAGCAGCAGAGAGUUCAAGCUGGCACAGUUAAUAAUUAAAAGGUCAUAAAUUCGUUUGAGGACAGGACACUUUCCCUCAUGUGCCUUUGAUGCUCCUAAAAUACACGCACACAUCCUGUGUUGCAAUGACAGAAUUAGUCACAACUGAGUGUACUCUGUGAGCUGAGUCUGAGUGUCACACAUUACACCACAUCCAUUACAUUUAUCUAUCUGUAUUGAAUCACAGACUCAAAAUCCUUAAAAAUCCAUAGCAGACAUAUAAAAGUAUCCAACAAUGUGACCACACAGAGGCUUUAAAGACCAACAGUAGUUGUAGUGUAAACUCUUUGACAUUUGUUGCAGCAGCCCUGUUGCUGUUUGCCGUCACACCCCCUUGAAUUCAGAGCCAGGUGCAACAGACAUCUCAUUUCCCAAA